UACGGGGGGGGCAAGCGUUGUUCGGAAUUACUGGGCGUAAAGGGCGUGUAGGCGGCCAACUAAGUCAGACGUGAAAUCCCUCGGCUUAACCGGGGAACUGCGUCUGAUACUGGAUGGCUAGAGGUUGGGAGAGGGAUGCGGAAUUCCAGGUGUAGCGGUGAAAUGCGUAGAUAUCUGGAGGAACACCGGUGGCGAAGGCGGCAUCCUGGACCAAUUCUGACGCUGAGGAGCGAAAGCCAGGGGAGCAAACGGG
rnacentral:rRNA from 1 species